rnacentral:rRNA from 1 species
GUGAACGCUGGCGGCAGGCCUAACACAUGCAAGUCGAACGGCAGCACAGCAGUAGCAAUACUGUGGGUGGCGAGUGGCGGACGGGUGAGGAAUACAUCGGAAUCUGCCCAGUCGUGGGGGACAACCAGCCGAAAGGUUGGCUAAUACCGCAUGCGACCGGAAGGUGAAAGCGGGGGACCCCUUAAAAGGCCUCGCGCGAUUGGAUGAGCCGAUGUCGGAUUAGCUAGUUGGUAGGGUAAAGGCCUACCAAGGCGACGAUCCGUAGCUGGUCUGAGAGGAUGAUCAGCCACACUGGAACUGAGACACGGUCCAGACUCCUACGGGAGGCAGCAGUGGGGAAUAUUGGACAAUGGGCGCAAGCCUGAUCCAGCAAUGCCGCGUGUGUGAAGAAGGCCUUCGGGUUGUAAAGCCCUUUUGUCCGGAACGAAAAGCGCCAGGUUAAUAACCUGUCGUGCUGACGGUACCGGUUGAAUAAGCACCGGCUAACUUCGUGCCAGCGGCCGCGGUAAUACGAAGGGUGCAAGCGUUAAUCGGAAUUACUGGGCGUAAAGGGUGCGUAGACGGUUUGUUAAGUCGGAUGCGAAAGCCCCGGGCUCAACCUGGGAACUGCAUCUGAUACUGGCAGGCUAGAGUGUGAUAGAGGAUGGUGGAAUUCCCGGUGUAGCGGUGAAAUGCGUAGAGAUCGGGAGGAACAUCUGUGGCGAAGGCGGCCAUCUGGAUCAACACUGACGUUGAGGCACGNNNGCGUGGGGAGCAAACAGGAUUAGACCCUGGUAGUCCACGCCCUAA